rnacentral:lncRNA from 1 species
AAUAUUAUCUCCAAAACCCUAAUUGACUCCAUCAAAAUUAGGGCUACAACGGCCAAAUUUCAAGCCAUACCCACAAUCUCAGUCCGAUUCAUCGGAAAGGGGAGCCAUCUGCUGAGCCUCGAGACGCUCUAGGGCUUUCUGGUGGGCCCAAGUUUCGAUAGUGAGAUCGGGCUUGGCGUUGAGCCCAACGCCGAGGAUGACGAUGGUGAGGAAGCUGGUGACGUAGCAAGGUAACUCCCAGUCUUCCCACUUUCUGGAUUGACCUGGAGGUAAGGGAGUCCGGUUCAGGAAAUAACCGUUGGGGUGUUCUUGGUGACCCGGGCUUGUCCAUCGGCUUGGACCGGCGCCGCCGCCUCUAAGACGGAGGCUUGUGCUUAGCCGGCUGCGGAGAGUGCCGGCGGCGGUGGCGAAGGGUUUCGCGGACGCCAUCUGUUUAGAGAGAGAGAGGGGGGAGGGGAGGGGAGUGAGAGAUUGUAUUUGUACGUGUUGCCCUUUUUUGGAUCUCAGUUUUUGCAAGGGCUUCUUGGUAUUCUCCAAUAUACGACGUCGUCACAUGAAAAAAGAGGGAUAACGUACAAUUCUAUAUUCCAUAAACUUGUAAAAUUUUUGUGAUUUAGAUUAAUAAGGUCCUUUUAUAAAAUGAUCAUAGAAAAUAAUUUACAAAAAAGGUUACCGGAUGAAGUUAUUGAGUUCGUAAACUUUAAUCGUUUUUCUGUAAUUAAUAUACUAACAUACUGAUCUCAGAUCUUAUUUGAAAAAAAUAAAAUAGCUCUCAAGUGAAAUACCCGUUUGAUCAAUUAAUUUAUUCUAAUCAAAUUAAAAAACAUAUAACUUUCAUGAAUUCAAAUAACCCAUUAAAAAUCAAUUUCAUUAAGAACAAGUUCAAUUCAAAAUGCGACAUACCCUCCCUUAUUGAUACUCUAUAAUUUAACAAUAAAAGAUAUAUUUUAUUUGUUAAAGAUCAAAAAAAGAAAAAGAAUACUUUUGGCCAAAUAUCAAAAAAAACAAGGGUUUUUAAUUCUAAAAACUAGCAAUAUUAGCCCGGUUGUGGUUUCUGUGCUCAUUUACUAAUCAGAGUAUUAUAAUACUCUCUGCCACAUUUUGCACAUCGAAGGGCAUUUGGUCUAGUGGUAUGAUUCUCGCUUUGGGUGCGAGAGGUCCCGAGUUCGAUUCUCGGAAUGCCCCCUUUUUCCCAAGACUAGUUGAAUAUUGCUUUUCAGCCCUGCAAAUGUUCUAUUUCACAGGACUCACUGUAACUACCGCAUCCAAGCUAAAACCAUCCAUCAAAGAUUGCGAAAUGUAACAAGAAAAAUUUUUUUUUACAAAAGACAUGACAGUUUAUAGUCACCAAUAGUUUCCACAUGAACAGACACCAUCAACAAUAUGAUGAUAUCGGCUUUUAUCCCUUAAAUAUAUUUCUCUUUCAUAAAUUUUAGAUACAAAUUUGGCAAAAUUAUGGCAAUCAACGCAGAUGCGGAGAUUUUUCAUUACUCGAAUAGGCCUUUUUUGAGGGGUACACAUUAGUGCAAAAGCCAAAGCCAGCUUUUCACUAUGCCCCAGCAGCAUUUUCCCUUUCUGCUCCUCAUCUACAUCAUAUAAUACACAAGACAGAUUUGGGACAUAACCAGCUUCCCUAACCUUGACUGACAUCUCUCUUACCUUUUCUGCUACCUCUUCCUUCUGUGGAUGUGAUCGAUCAUCUGCAUGGAAAGUGUGAAUGGUUUUAUCCAAUUCAAUCCAGCUCUUUCCUGGCUCCUUUGUUAUGGCCUUCUCCAUCAUCAUAUCCCUUACCACUCUUACUUCAUUCCACCUUCCUGCGGAUGCGAGCAGAUUUGAAAGAACUACAUAAUUACCAGCAUUUUCAGGUUCUAUUAUUAAUAGUUGACUACCAACAUACUGUCCAAUGUCAACAUUCUGGUGAACACUACAAGCACCUAAGAGUGAACCCCAAAUUGCACCAGUUGGUUCAAAUGGCAUAUCCUUUACAAAUUUAAAUGCCUUUUCUAUUUGUCCAGCGCGUCCAAGCAAAUCAACAACAGUCCCAUAAUGUCCAAUAUCUGGCUCAACGCCAGUUUUUCCACGCACCAUCUCAUCAAAAAAUUCUAGUCCUCUAUUUUCCAUCCCUCCAUGGCUACAAGCAGAUAACAAAGCCAAAAACGUAACUUUAUCAGGCAAAACUUUAUUUUCUUCUCUCAUUAAUUCAAAAACCUUAACAGCAUCCUGUCCUCUUCCAUGUUUGCUAUAUCCUACAAGCAUCGUAUUCCAUGUUAUGACAGUUCUUUCAGACAUGUUAUCGAAUAUCCUUCUUGAGUAUGUGAGGUUUCCACAUUUUGAAUACAUAUCAAUCAAAGAAUUCUGAAGAACCGCGUAGGAUGGCAGUUGAAACCUAAGUACAUGGCUGUGAACUUGCCUUCCAUGUUCAUAUGCAGCAAGACCAGAUAUUGCAGUCAAAACACUGGCAUACGUUACAUAAUUGGAGAUCAUUCCCUCUUCCUGCAACUGACAGAAUAACUUUAAAGCCUCUUCGUCAAAACCCAACUGAGCAUAGCCUGAAAUGAUAGCAGUGCAAGAAACAACAUCCCUCUCUGGCAAGCCAUCAAACACCACUCGUGCUUCAUGGAUCCAACCCGUUUUGGCAUACAGGUCAAGAAGUGAGCUUCCAACAUACACAUGGGCGUCAAAACUCAACUUUAUUAUAUGGCUAUGGAUUUGCCUCCCGUGGAGGAGCCCGGAGACUCCUGAGCAAGAUGUAAGAACAGUCGCAAAUGUAAACUCAUUAGGUUCAAUACCUGGAAAAAAAAACUUCAUCUUACAAUCCACACUUAAAUGCUAAAAAGAAGAUAACCACCUGAGUGUAAGCCAUUUAAUUGUAUGUAGUCUUGAGAUGUAACUCUAGAAACAAAAUAUCAAUUUGAGUAUCUAGCUUCUGAGGCAUAGAAUUAGUGCUAACUGAUAAGUUAGAUUACGACACAAAGCUUAAAGAUGGAUGCUUCAUGUAUAUGUUACACUUGCCAACAGCUGAAGAUGUGAUCUUUUAUCUUUUAAUUUUCUUUCCAAGUAGUGAUUGGACAGAAACGCUCAACUGUGGCACUUUCCCCCCUAGCCUGGCAGUGCUUGGGGUUGGGGGGCGUCAUUUGCUUCGUUGGUUCCAAUGGUGGCAGCCGAGGAAUCUGAACAAAAUUAGACUCUUCUGUCUGUGUUGUGAAAACAUUGAAAGAUUUAAUGAUUAAAAGUUUACUUUCUCAAAACCUACCAGAACACAUUUCAUCUAAGUAGUUAGAAGUUUUAUCCUCCGGAAUUUGUGUUUUACGAGUGGCACUUCCUUUAUAUAAAAGCAGAACAUGGUAAGGGAUCAAUGGUCCACAAAUAUUGAUCUGUCAACAAAGUAAAAUUGCAUUCAAGUAAAUUAAGCUAAUUGGUCAAAUAUGUUAAGUGAUCAGUUCUCCUAAAACCUUAAUGUUGUGUAUGGUAGGGGAGAAUGGAAUGGAAUGCAAUGAUUGGAAGUAAAUGAAAAUAAUAGAGGUAGGAGGGAAGUUCUGAAAAAAUUGAGUUAUCGCAAAAUUGUUUUAAUGAGGUUUAAAAAGAAAUUAAGUAUGGGAAGGAAUGGAGCAUUCCUUCUUAAAUUGGGGUUGUAGUCUCUGGUGUAGGGUGUAAAGAAUGGAAUGGAGUAAGAAUGAAAUUUAUAAACAAUUAUCCAUAACAUAGUUCCAAUUUCAUUCUAUUUCUUCCGAAUUCAUUUACUCCAACAAAACAAGCUACUUCUGGGGGUGUUACAACAUAGUAAGGGAUUUUAAAAAAAGCCUACUCUUCUGUAGCGUGUGAGCAGGUAUGAAGCCAAUAGAGGGGGCCAAAAACUUUUCCCUUAACACUUUUAGAUAUUCAAUAUAGUAAAUACACAAAAUUACUAGUAUAAAAUUUAUAAUAAAGCCAUGGCAAGUCGGCAAGAUGGAAGAAAUUCUGCAAGCUAAUGAUACUGAAAAAAAAUAAUAGCAACAUCAAGCAAUAAUUUGCUUAAUAAAUAGACUACUUACUAAAAAUCUACCUGACUUUAACAUCUCUACAAAAAGAACAAGAGCUUCCGAGGCAUACCCUCUCCGCGAAUAACCCGAUAUCAUAGCCGUCCAAGAAACAACAUUCCUCUCAGGAAUUUCAUCAAACACCAUCCUGGCAUCUUCCAGGCACUCACACUUCGUGUAAAAAACAAUCAACCUGUUUCUGAGAUACACAGGUGGAAGAUACUGGGUUUUGAUCAUGUGGGCCUGGACUCUCUGGCCUUCUAUGAGACCCUUUUGGCUUACACACUCGUUUAACAGCAAAUCAUAGCCUUCAAACUUCAUUUCAGUACCCUGGAAGGCCAUUUCUAACAAGGCCUGUUUUAGGUUACUGUUAGAAAUUGCAAAUUUUGAGUUUGUUGAAUUUGGCGGGAGGGAAUAAGAGGUUAGUUUGCGGAUCAUUGUGUUCGAAGUGGAAGAGAAUAUAUGAAGAGAAUGAUUCAGGAGUGAAGUACAUUUUUGUAUGUUUUUCAGGUUCAUGUGUUUGUAUAACCUGGAAUUGGCAACGGGCAAGGUAUCCAACCCUGAGCCUAGCUGAGUCUCCAAAUUAUCACGAAUUAACCUGAAUUAUGACUUAAACCGACAUACAUGAUAAAUUAUGAGUUUAAAAUAUUUGUUUGGUUAAUUUUAAUUUAUUAAAUAAUUUAUGAAUUAUUAAAAAUAAUGUGAUUUAUGGACAACAUAUAUCUUAUAAGUAGUUUUUCUAAAAAAUGGUUUAAAAAAAUUAAAUUACUGAAAAAAUACCUCAAACUAACUUCGAACUUUAAGUCAGUUUCCGGCUUAUUUUCAACUUUAAAACAACUUCCGACUUAUUACACAGAAUGACAUUUGUCAGUUUAAAGUUAAAAAGUCGGGACAAAUAGACUCUUGAAUGGUUACCCUUCACGAUGAGCUUUCGGUUAACUUAAAAAAACGAAAAAACUUUCGCUAAAAUUGUUUUUCAAUAAACUUUUAUUUGAAUAAUUUAACAGACAGGAAAAAAAAAUCAAUAUAAAGUACUCUGCCAAUUAAGCAAAAUAUAAUAUCUAAGUUGGAUAAUUCUCGUUCUCUCCUCAAAAUUCUAAAAAAAUCUAUCAAACUUCUUUUUUCUUAACUGUCGUGAAAGGCUUGCACUAGUUUUCGCUGAUAAAAAAUCUCAAAUAAUUUAUUUUAUUCUUAUUUUUCACUACAAUUGAGAUGGUAUAUAAAACUAUACCAUAGUUUUAGUAAUAUAAUUUACAAUUUAAAUGUUCCUGAAAAACAUCCCAGAUUUUAUGAAAAAAUGGGAGUAACUAAAAUUAUAUAAAGUGAGAACAAGUUUGUGUUAUGUUUAAUUAAAAAGUAAAAUAAAUAUGUAAGGGUUAUGGUAAUUGAUGAGAAUAAUAGCUGAGACAAAUUAAUUCAAAUUCGAGAAACGCUAUUACAAGAUGUUCCUUUUUAGAAAGGUUAGAAAGGGUAAUAUAGAAAGCAAUUAGGUUACCGUAUUUGAAACAUAUUGUGUUAGUAUUUCUCCAAAACCUUUAAGUCUAUAUUUAUGUCGAUGCGUUUCUAAGUAUAUAAUAUAUAGUUUAUUCUAGACGGUUUUGGUAAAUAUUAUUUUGUCCCGAUAAAUAUAAAUAAAUAUCUAGCAAUAAUGAAAGAAAUGUUAUCAAUGGACCUCACCACCUCAGUCAGUUUAAAUAAAUAUCUAACGGCAAUGAAAGAAAUGUGAGCCGGCAACAUGCAAACCGUGAACAUACAUGUAGACAUGUAGUGUGAAAAUAAAAAGCCAGAUACCCACAGAUCACAAAGCAAAAAAGUUCAAAAAGUUAAUUGAUCGGUGGGUGUUGUUAUCUCUUUAACAUGUUAUGUUCAUAUUUUUGCAAGGCACACGAUCUUAAUGAUUCUAAGAAGACAAAGGAGUUUGGUUAAAUAACGGUCUUUGAGAUUAAAAACAAUGUUGCUUGUGUAAUAAUGAUACUCCCUCGAUCUCAAGUUAUAGGUCUAUUUUGAAAUAAACAUGUAUAUUAAGAAAAUGAUUGGUUAUUUGGUUAGAUAUAAUUUUAUGGCAUGUAUCAUUAAUUGGUAUAUUGAUAAUGGAGAAUAGAGUUGAAUUUCAAAAAAAUCACAAUAAAUAUAAUGAUUUAGUGCAUUGAGAAAUGAGAAUAAUAUUGAAUUUCAAAAAAGUCAUAAUUAAUAUAGAGAUAAAGUUGUAUUGAAAGAAGAGAUGGACAAGUAUAUUCAGACAAAUUUUAAUAUCAAAAAAGACCUAUAAAAUGAGACGGAGGGAGUAUUACUGUACUACUAGUACCAUACAAAGUCAUAAAAGUCAUAAAUUUAUGUUUUAAAUCAAAUUCAAUUUCUGGUCAAAAAAAAAAAAUUCAAAUUCAAUUUGAUCAUGUUAUAUUUAGUAGACAUAAAUUAUUAAAAAAGAAAGAUGUUUUUGCAGGCUAAAAAGGUAUACUUCUUUGCAAAGCCAACGCUCAAUUCUAAAACUUUAAAUCAAUAGAUAUAAGUUUAUUUAAGCUCCAUCAUCUCAGAAUAAAGAGCUUCUCCCCUGGGAAACUUUAUAUAGAGUAUAAUUUAACUCUUGUUUGAUCAAAAGAAUGAAUUGACGGCCUCUCGAGACCGUCACUGUUUGAAUAAACCGGAGUGGAAAUUAAUUAAAGAGAUGUUAUUUACAGUUGAAGGCUUGAAAUCCAAAGGAGUGUUCCACCUCCCCAAGUGUUCUUCUCCCCAUCCCAUAUUCACAUUUACAGCUUCAAAUCCGUCGAUAUGUUCCAUUAGAAAACCGGCAGAACUAUGAUUAACUAGUCCUUGACAUCCUGGCCUGUAGUCUACUAAACCAUCCAUAUAAUUUGUCCAUCUCCUGUAAGUGAGAUUCACAUUCUCAAAUUUCAAGUUGCGCAGAGUUCCACCUUUACAUCCAGAUAAGAAGACACCGUUUUCUGAAGUUGCAGUGAUGUUAACAAAUAGUAGAUUGGAUAUUGAACCCGAUUUCGAAUCUUCAUUUCUGGGGCAGGUUGUCACAUAUAUAGGUUCUGCUCUUCCCCACCAUGACGGGUCAUAGUAUCUUGUGGUGAUAUUUAUAUUUGAGAAAGUUAUAUCACUUACAUUUCCUGUACAAGAACAAAAAAUCACAACAAAAUCUUCAAUUAGUAGUUCAACAAAAAGUACACGAGAUGUGCAGGUGCAUUGAGGAGCGGGUGUGGGUUUAAAACUAAAAACAAUACUGAUGAACGGAGAGAUGAAAAUGGAAAGAUUUAAAGCAUUUACACAAUCAGCAGCAAAAUUCAACAUCAAGUCCUCAAAUUUUGCUGCUGAAAAUGCCAUGCAUUCUUCAAAUUCUCUGUUUUCAUUUCCCCGUCUAAUAUAUUCUAUCUGUAUGCACCACACAUAGGCAACAGAUGCAAAUCAUACUAGUUUCUCCCACGUCUAAUACGAAGGACACAAAGAUUCACUUUGUAACUUUCGCAUAUCCUUCCAACUGACUCAAGUACCAAAAAGCAAUGUUCUAAAAAUCGCUAAACAUCCUAGGGCGGUCGGGGUACCUUUAAACAAUUAAUCGAUAGAUCAAAGAUUAAUUGGAAUGAUUUCAAAUUUAGAUUAUUAAAAUUAGAUAUAAAUAAAUAGUCAUGACAAUUUUGUGCUACUAGCUGUGAAUUUCACUUAUAGAUACCAUCAAAUAUUAAAUAUAUAUGUGUUACAUAAAAUAUAAGACUACCCAUGUAAAUAGAUUUAUAGUACCACACAUUGCUUCCACGCGAUAUACAAAGAAAUUAAAUAAGACCGAGUUACCUAGAAGUUAAUAGGUUUUUUUGUAACUAUUUAUUUUUUUAACAUUUAAGUUGUAAAAUAUGAUUGCCUGCGGGAUGUUGAUCAUUUUUUCAAGGAAACNNNNNNNNNNNNNNNNNNNNNNNNNNNNNNCCUAAAUUGCCACCUAGGACUGACUUGGGGCAUUUUAUGACCGCCUGGGCUAUUUUUAAAACACCACUAAAAAGGAGUCCCAAAUCAGUGUAAAAGCAACAAGAAUUCUAAACAUAUCAAUAAUAACAUAAUGAACCAGCUACUAUGAUGACCAAGUAAAAGUAACUUGAGCAUUUCCAGAAAAAGUUUAGCAAUUUGGUUUUUCUUGCAAUUUUGGCUCCUCGGGUAGUGGUAAUAUUAUCACGUUCAUAUAAUUUCUAAUAUAUAGAGUGCACCUGGGGUAGUGGUAUCAUAUGGGACUAAGUUUGAUUCUUUGGAUGUACUUUAAUAUCUAGUAAUAUUUUUGACUUGAAUCAUCAUAUAUAAAGACAACAUUACAUCUGGUGAUGAAUGUCCUAGCAUAACUUUUCUUACAUGUGUACCCUGGUAUCCUAAAAUGAGAGAAUAUCCUCGACUGAAACGAACUUGAAUAAGAUUUGGUAAGCUGAUAUCACGUCUCAAAACAGGAAUAUACUAUCAUUUUGGCACAGCGGUAUUACAACACAUAUGAUAUGGGCACCAACCUAAGUAAAUGGUCACCAGAAUUUCUACAAUAAAUAAGAUAUUAUACUUACCUCCAUCUCGAAUCUGUAGACCAAGUCCUCUGUGAGAUUCUACUAUGGUGAUAUUAUCAAAAACCAGACCCUUGAAGUCAAACCAGCUAGCACUUCCAAGUUUGAUAGCUGAAGAUUUUGUUCGAAUCCAACAAUCAGUCGCGGUAAGGUUAUAGAGAGGACCAUCAUAUGUUUUUGGGCAAAUAGCAUCAUCUCCAGUGUUAAUGUUGCAUCUAGUAAUGAAUGUAUUAUUGGAAUCAUCUAUAUCUAUUCCAUCAUUGUUUGGUGUAUUGAAAUCUCCAUAUAUUGAGACAUCAUGUAUCAAUGAAUUUUCACACUGUACCAGGUGCAAGCUGCAUAUAGUUAAAACGUCUUUUUUAGAUAGAAAUAUACAUAAGAAAACUAAAAAGUAUGGAAACUAUCAAGUAGGAGACCCAUCAGCAACUAAAUUUAUCCAUAAACUCUUAAAGGCAUAUCAGACGAAGGGGUCGUUUGAUUGACGGGGAUCUGGAAUCAGGUAUGAGUUUUGUUCAUUCCAAACCCAUACCUGCUGUUUGGUUGUAAAAAUUAAACUUUCAAACCCAUACCUCAAACCCCCAAGGUAUGGGUUUUUGAUACCCAAGAGAGGAGGUGGGUAUGGAUAUCAAUUUCAUUUUCGAUAUUUUGGCUCUAUUUCAAUAAUUAAAUAUUAAUUUGUAAUACGACAAUUAUCAAUGAUGCAAAAAUAUAAUAUUAUAAUAUUUUUUUUAAUUUUUUAAUUAAUAGUAAUAUAAUUUUUUUUAAAAUUGAAUAUAUUAAUUUUAGAACACAACCAAACACAUGAUAUCAAAUAUGAUACCUUAAACCCAUAUCAUCUUAACCUGAUUCCUCAUUCCAACUCCAUACCACCCGGCGAACCAAACGACCCCUAAAAGUGGAGGUAAAACACAUAGUAUAUGAUCCCACAGAUUUCACUCUACUUGCACUGUCAUUUCUCGGUCCUUAUUCGUAGUUCUAACAAGGGUUCACUGGGGCGCCUUAGAAAUGAUGCAUAAUUAGCUAAUAUAAUAACAACAAAUUCCAUAAUUUAUGCCGUAAAAUUUCAUAACACAUAAUGGCUAAGAGCAUCUCCAAUAGUGUUGGCUAAAAAUGAUUGGCUAAAUUGACUUAUAUCAUAUUAUGAAAAAUUUAUCGAAUCUGUAAGAUAUUUUGUUUCGAUGAUCGUAGUUACAUGAAUUGACUAUAUUAUUUUAACAUGAUAAAAGAUAAUGUGAAAUCUUGCGACACUUCUAAACUCUUUCAUCUCGCAUCUCAUUCAAAUCACUUUUUACACUAAUGUCAAAUAUUAAGAAGAAAAAAAAAAAACUUUUCCGAAUCUGCGGGGCACAGAAACAACAGCUAUAAGCGAUUAAUUUAGAAAGAGAGGGAGUAAAAAAGAAAAAGACUCACCACCAGUACGCAGGCUGAAUCAAGUUCACAUUCCAAACCCGAACAUUUUUACUGCGUAAAAAUCCCACGAGCCUGGGCCUACACUCAUCACCCAAACAGGCCCCACUUGUAUUCCAGCUCACCAUAACAUUUUUCCUCUCAUCAAAUCUCUUAACAAACUUCAACCCCUGUCCAUUAAUCUCCCCGCCGCCGGUGAUCCCCACAUUCUCCGCAUCCUCCGCCACCACCACGUACCACCGGCUAUUCUCCGCCGGAUAAUCCCUCUGCUUCGUUCCUCCCAGGAUCGUCGCAUUCUCUUGCACUUCCAAUACCACGCCGGAUUUCAGGAAUAUUGUAGCCGUUAGGUACCUUCCCGGCGGGAAGAUGACGUGGCCGCCGCCGAGAGCGUGGCAGUCGUUGACGGCGGCUUGGAUGUACGGAGUGUCGUAGUGAACGCCGUCGCCGACGGCGCCGUAGUCAGUGACGGAAAGCGUUAAAAUUGACUGGGGUAGUUGAAUUAUUUCUGAGCUGGAAGAUUGAGUUGUGAAACAUAUGGAUAAUAAUAUAACUAAAUUUGAAAAUGCGGAAAAAUAAAAUUUCAUUUUUGCGAUGAGAGGAAGAUUAUUACGAGUAGAUCGAUUUACAAUGUUUGCAAUUGUUAGGCCAACAGCAUCGUGCACCUUAUAAUAUUUUUUUAUUUUUCGAAACGGGAUCAACUUGAUCUCGCAUUAUUAUAUUCUGCAAUAAUGUGAUCAAAUAUAUAGUGCAAACCUUAUCUUGGAUUUGUUGGCAUACAUGUGAUUGUUGAAUUGCUUCAAAGGAAGAACAUCAACUUGAGUGAAGCUUUACAGCUUGUGCUAUUUUUGAAUUCGUUGUGCAGGGGCUCGUUUAACUGCUAGUAUGGAUGUGGAUAAAAUCGUGUACAUCUCAAAAUGAUUCGGCACCACCAUAACUAUAAUAUGAAUUGCGAUGGAAUUGAUGGUGUAAGAGCUUUUCCAAACAUUGAAAGCUCUUGGCUAAAAGAUGAGUUGCAUACUAAAAAUAAAAAAUUUUAGCAAACAGCUCGAAAAAUUGAUACUCACCACACCUAGCUAUUGUCUAUAAUUUUAGUCAACCUCCUAUGGAUAGUCAAAUUUUUCGAACCUCUACAAGUCUGUAAAAAAUCUAAGAAAUCUGUAGGAUGAUUGCACAUCAUUUGUUACCAUAUUGAACUGAUAUAUUCUAUUUUAACAAUCUAAAAUAUUAAUAACAUUCUAUUUUUAAAUUAUAGCCAACCAAUAUAGCCAAUACCAUUGAAGGAAAAUGUCUUACAGAUUCAGCAAAUUUUACAUAAUGUCUUACAGGUCUCAUUUAGCCAACGAUUAUAGCCAACGCGUCGCCAUUGGAGAUGCUCUAACAAAUUAAAAAAAGGGCGGAUAAAAAACUUUGUCCAUUAAGAAAAAGAAAAAUGCUAGGUAUUGGAAAAAUUAUUUCUACAAUUUUAUUGUGAAAUUUCAUUAAUAGUAAUGGGAUCCUUUUAUGCGUAUAUAAAUUGUCCUAUAAAAAUCAAUAACUUGUCUGUCAUAUGAGAAAAUUUGGGUUUUUUCAUUUUCAUGUUAAUUUAUCUUCAGCUUCCUAAAACUCUCCACGACGCACUAAGAGCAUCUCCGACCAUCAAAAACUCUUGGCUAAAAGGUGAGUUUGCAUACUUAAAAUAGAAAAAUUUAGCCAACAGCUCGAAAAACUCAACUCCAACCAUGCACAGCUGUUGUCUAUUAAUUUAGCCAACCUCCUAUGGAUGGCUAAAUUUGUCGAACCUCUACAGGUCUGUAAGAAAUCUGUAAGAAGAUUGCACAUCAUUUAUUACCCAUAUUGAACUGAUAUAUUCUAUUUUAACAAUCUAAAAUAUUAAUAACAUACUAUUUUUAAAUUAUAGUCGAUCAAUAUAGCCAAUACCAUUAAAGCAAAAAUUCUUACAGGUUAGCAAAUUUUACAUAAUGUCUUACAUGUCUCAUUUAGCCAACGAUUAUAGCCAACAACGUUGGAGAUGCUCUAAGAGAACCCUAAAAAGUACUCCCUCCGUCCCAAUAGAUAGUAUACAUUUGGUGUGGACACGGAGACCAAGAAAACGUGUAAAAAAUGAGUAAAGUUAGAUAAAAAAGUAAGUAAAGUGGCGGGACCCAUUUAUAUUUAAUUAUAGAUGUGUGAUAGUGGGGGAAAGUAGUGGGUGUAAUAGUGUUUAUAUCAUUAUAAAAUGAAGAUAGUGGAAGAAAAUAGUUGGUGUAAUAGUGUUUUACAUUAUUAAAAGUUGCUAUUUUAGGAAUGUAUAGAAAUGAUGGGACAUCCCAAAGAGGAAACUGUUUGAGAUGACCGGGACGGAGGGAGUAACAAGCAAGAAUUGUGAAGCAUUAUAUAAAAUCCGUCCGAAGUUGGAAACAAAAUAAACUCUAUCCGCCAAAGGGAAAAAUAGGGGGAUACGAAAUGAGGAGCUUGUCUUUCUAUUAGUUACGUUUUCUCCAUUUCCUUAUGGAAACAUUACUUUAUUCUUUAAACUAUAACAAUCAGGUGCGACUUAUCCACGUGCUUAAAUAGCGGGUUCGGCCUUCGUUUCAUAAAUUGUUAAUACAAACACGGAAUCUAUCAUUUCUAUACUUAAUAUGAGAUUGUAAGGUCAGUUCAUUAUGACAUUUAUAAUUAUAAAUUAAUAUAUCUCUAAAUAAAAUUCUCUGUUACAACAUUUUCUGAAUUUUAAGCAUUAAUUAAUACAGAACAUUUGUUAGAACAGUGUUUAUCAUCAGACCAUGACACGUUAUCUAUUUGAAAAGGAAAACACAGCUCCGUUGGCUCCUAUUAAUAUGGCUGCCCUACAAGUCUGAUACUAUGACAACUAUAUAGUCUGAAUUAUUGUACUCUGGAUUUAGGCGUCCUUGUGUCACAAGUACUAGUACUAAAACAUGGGCGAAGGACAGUCUUAUUCCUAAUCAUAACGCCACGGUGUACUGAAAACACCAGUUAACCACUGGCCGACCAAGCCAUCACUCUUUAAGAAAUGAGAGACUUGUGGUAAAGAGCAGGAAGAUUAAAUAAUGUAAUAAACGGUCACCACUCACCACAAACAUAUUCCAUAACAUAUAUAGCUUCUCCGCUUGGCUGUUCUUUUCCUUCUUUAAGAGAUCAAUCACUUCACGCUUAAAUGGCGAAACAAAUGAAUCUCCAAGUUAGUAUUAAAGAUACAAUAUACUAGAAAUCUCCCAGCAGCUAAGGAAUUCUGACUGUUGCAACAAAAGCUAAUUUAACGCAGAGGCGUCCCCUCUGUUUAUCCACUAUCUACUAAUACUAUAUCCAAUAUAUACAAUCUAGCUAUCCUUAAUGCCUGUGACUUCCCUCAAUCUUCACAUCUCCAUCUUCAGCUGGUUUGAUUGCAAAGAAGCUGUGGCACAAAACAACCUUAAAUAUAUUACAAUUUCAAUAUCAUCACAAGCACUUAUUACUCUUGUCAACCCAAAAACAGCCGUUUUGUUAUAUUGUUAAUCAAACUGGGUGGACAGACUAAUUCAUUUCUUACUCCAUGCAUCACUAUGUCUACUAGACUACAAAAUAAAAUUUGUCCUAAAAUUAUUUUGGUUAGAUUAAUGUGUCAGACUUGAAAACAUGUCCUAAUGUCGAACUUGGCGAUAUAUUGAAACCCAAAUGAACAGGGUCCAAUAUUCUCAAUGAAAUAUAGGUAAGGGUAACAUAGCAUGUACCAACAUCAUAGCUGGUUUAUAAGAGUAAAAGCACACUGUUUAAAAAAUAAUUAUAUGCUUGAAACCAGGUAUUAUGAUAUGUGUAAAUUACCUGAAUUUGCCACCGAAUCAUAGCUUAAAAGUGAAUUAUCUGGCGUAACAAAGUUAGUGUUGUCUUCUUCCCUAACCCAGGAAGGCUGAUGGAGCAAGUCAAACGGCCAUAAAUGUUGAUAUUGCUGUCUGUUGAUGCUUCCAUUGACUUGUCCUUCCAUACAGGUCGUUGGCAUACAAACUCCUGGAAAGCUGCUUUCUAUCAUCGAUCCACCCUUAAAGAUUAAAAGAAAUAAUGUAAAAUCUAAUACAAUUAAUGACACAAAAAUUUGUCAGGCAGUAAAUUUGUGUGAAUCUAGUCUUCAAUCUAUAACUUAUUGUUAGGAGCGAUUUUAUAAAUUCAUAAUUAGUCUGUUUGGCUAUAUAAUUUUAUUGAAUUCUUAACAUAUAUAUAAUUUACUUUUCUGGAAAUUUUAACUUCGAUGCAACUUUUUGUGCUUGCAACAACUCCAGACUCAAAAGAUAACUUACCUGUUUUAGCCUUUUAGGGGCUUAGGCAAACAGGGUCCCAGACAUACCUACUUAACUAUAUUAUAAUACUCAUUGCACCAAACCAUGCUAUUUGAUUUUCAUUCUGAUUUAGAAAUGCAAAGAUGUAUUUUAAAACUUGCAAAUUCUGCUGAGACCUCAAGUGACAUGGUUACAUAUAUACAAUAAAAAGAUAUCAUGUGUAAGGUACUUAUUAGGGAACAUCUGUCAGAUGCCCAUUCUACCAUGUCUAGUGACUGCGUUGGGGGACCUAUUGUCCUGGGAGACCUUGCAAUAGUAAUUCCUAAUACAAAUUGAAAGUAACCCGAGCUUGACGUUACCCUUUUGGCAUCUUAACAAGCAGUUGAGGAGGUAAAUAUGCGAAACAGAAGGUCCAAAUCUGACCACUGUCUUGCCUCUAUAUUAAAGGUAAAACACUAUCCUUUGAGAUAUUGUACAGGGACCCAAGAAAGAAGAGCAUUUAAAGAAGUCCAAAUAUUUUAUUGUCCUUCCCACUUGCAAAUUUAUGAUGGAUGUUUUUACGGUAUCCAGCAGGAUAAUGUUCAGAGCUGGCAAGAUGGUCCUAAAACUAUCAACUCGAAUCAUUAAACUUGCACCUGUUGGGUUGGUUAUCCAUUAAUAUGUAGAUGGCUUCAUAAACCAACCUCAAUUAUUUAGAGACAACAACCCAGCUAACUAAGACUCAUAAUAUGGAGUAAUUAAAUAGUUGGCGUAACCGAGUUGGUAAAAGUUUAAUCUUGGGCUGGGAUUGCCUAGAGCCUAAAGGUGCUUGAUCCUCUAACCAUUAUUUUCCGGCUGAUAUUUUUUUCUUCUAAAUUUUAUUUUUUUUCUCAGGAAACAAAAAAUAUAAACGCAAUACUCCAACAUUACAUAUAUUGUAAAUGACAAUGCUAUUAAAGAUUAAUAUAUGAAGUAGUAUCAUUAAAAAAAAACUAAAGUAUAUAUAUUUCUAAUAGAAUAUUUUUGUCCAACUAUUAUAUUUACGUUGAUGCUUCAAAUAUAGACUAGUCAAAAUUCAUAGAACAGUUGAAAACUGCAUAUGAAAAUCAUGACUUUAGAUACAAAUCAUAAGAAAGUAAUAUAUAAAUUCUUAUGUCUUAAAUACAAAAUCCAAGCCGCCUGUGAUCUGCUAGUUAUCAUAGUUAUUAUAAUACUCAGGGAGUCUUAGUUAUGAAAUUGCUAGACUAUUAUUUUUAAUUAGCUGAAAGCCUGAAAUACAACAAUCAACAGAAUGAAUCCCUCUGUUGAUGUCUAAACUAUUAUGUACAUCGUACAAUAGAAUACUAAGAAAGAAUCACCAAAAAGAAAUAAAAAAUGCAAGGGUCCUAGUGUUCAUUGAUAACUUGGUGUCAGGACUUCUUCCAUCCUCUUAUACCAAAGGUCAGUGGUUCAAAUCUUCACUCCCUAUUCCUGAAUACUUAAAAUCUAAUGCAUUGAAUUAUAUGUAACGUACCCAAAAAAAAAGUGAGAAAGAAUGGAGAAGAUUGAUAACAACAAAGUAACAAAUAUGAGAAAAAAUAGUGCCUCAAAGUACUUAUUUCAAUUCUAAAAUCUAAAGAUAAAUUAAGACUAAAACAGAUUAUAUAGAAGUUGAUAAAGUAAGAUAUAAAUAUAACACAUGUUGAAAAGAAAGAGCUGCAAUUGUAGUCAAAUAAAAACAAAAACAGUGAGAUACUUAGAGUCUCAUUUAUUCGUACUUCACUGAUUCAGAAAGGAACCUAACAGACUAAAACCAAGACCAAACAAUUUCGGCCUAAAUAUUUUGACUAUAAUGAAUUGGAAAAUGGUUUGAUUUCUUAGAGAUAAGAAAAACAUUAAGUGAUGCCAAAUUUACCCAAAAACUGUAUAACACAAGCUACAUCUGAGUAAUAAUUCAUCGGUGCCAGUCCUGUUGCUUGAAAUUAAAAACUAAUUGCUAUUACUGCAAAUAAUAAGUAAAAUUUGUUGAGCACACUUACUUCUGUGGCAAAGAGACCAUCUAGAUUGAUAUCAACUCUUGGAUUUACAGCAGCAAGUCUCAUCGAUAAGAACUGAAUCAAAAUAUAAACACAAAAGAGGAGAUGUUUAAACUAAAUGUCAUUGUUCAAUUAAACUAUUGCAGACAGCACCUUACUAUCUUGCUGGGAAACAUUAACAAUCAUCAGCACGUAAAGGGAAGACUAUAACAGAAACCAGUAUAUUGACGAGCUUUAGCUUUACAAUCAAUAUAGGCAUGCAUUAUAACUAGGUUGAAAGUAUCAUUUUCCUGGUUAGUUUAGAUCUUAGGCAAAGAUCAUUAAUUAUCCCCAACUUAACAAUAAAGCAAACUUCUAGUAUAUCAAUUUGACUAACCAAUAUAUUUAGCAGGCAUAUACAUCUAGAAUAAAAAACACUAUGUGCAUAAAACAUAUGCCUAACCUCGACUUGGCGUUGUAGAGAUUGUACAUGAUUGAUGAUCUCGUCCAAUACCAUUGCUGUACCUGAAAUCUGCAACGUAAUCCACAUAAAUUUUCUUGUUCCAGUACAGGAAGAAGCUAUUGGCGCUUGAAGCAGGUAAUAUUCACUACUCCAGAUAACAUGCCACUUCGUGAAAUUCUAAAGUGCUCUGUUCUGAUUACUUAAAACUAGACCUGUCAAUCGUGUCAUGUCAUGUUCUUUAGUGUCGUGUACUUUCGUGUUUCGUGUACCCAUAUCCGACCAGUUUAAGAUUUGUGUACCUAAUCUCAAACCCAUAUCCGUUUCGAACCAAGUCGUGUAGUUUUCGUCUAUGAUUAAUAUAAAUUUAAUAAUAGCAUUUAAUUAAAAAAUAUAUUUUAAAAAUACAUUUUUUCUGUAUUAUUUUAUGAAAUAUAUAUUAAAUAUUUCUAUUUGCAUACAAUUGUGUACAACUAUUGACAUAUAUAUAUAUUAUAUAUGUAAAUAUAUAUUUUUUACAUGAAAAUAUAUUUAUUUAUUUAAAGAUAUAUUUAUAUCGUGCACUUUUGUGUAUAUAAAAUGAAAAUCCAUAUUCGACACUAAAUUCACCGUGUAUUUUUCUGUUCGUGUCCCAAAAACUGAAACCCAAACACUAACUUUUCGUGUCGUGUUGUCACGUCGUGUACCAAAUUGUCCAUGUGUUUUCAGUAGGGUACCAAAUUGUCAGGGCUACUUAAAACCCCCAAAAGUGCUAAACACUUCAUAUAGAUAGCAUAAUUUGAAGGUUACUGCAAGCACUUUAAAUUUAUUCUCUAAAUCUAUAAACUUUGCAGACACUUGAAGUGAGAAUGAGCCCUUCCUGUCAUCUGUGGAAGGUCUUUUACACUAACGAUCAGGAAUAGCAAAAACUAAAUGUCCUGGCAGUUUCAUCAAAUUAGCUCUUCUGUAAUCCAAUAUAAUUUUGAUAGGGGAAAAGCUAUUACUCAUUAAUUUAAGCCAACUUAUGACAGCAAAUGCUAUUACAUGCCUAAUCUAUUUGAGAUGCUUAAAAGAGUCUACUUUCUGCCAUGGUUGAAAACUAUCACAUCAUAGACAUAUAAAUGUCAAUACCUUUAGUUAGUCGGAAACAAAAUCUCGGUUUAGUAAUUAUUUUUGGAUUCAUCCCCUCCCUCUGAUAUUUUGUUUGUAAUAUGCACCACUCAAGUGCCUAAGAAAAUUCUCAAAGACUUAAUCAAGUUAAGAACAGAUAUAGUAGCUGGGCCCAACCCAGAUCAAGAUUAGCUUUAGAAGUUACAUGCUUCGCUGUAUUUGACAUUGAGUGAUUCCCAAAUUUCAUUUAAUUAAUCAGAUGGCAUUUUUUGCUAUUUAUAAGGAUAUCUGACCACUUGAGCAUCCCCUUGUCCCCUGGUACAGUUAAUUACACCCCAGAAAUAAAUUAAUACAGCACGCCACUCUAUAGAGAAAAAUGACAUGUACUUUGGUACUUGCAAAACCAAAACUAAAACAAGAAGCAAGUUCUUUUUUUAAUUUUAAUAACAAAGAAGUCCUUAUAUAGAUACUAUACAGUAUACACCAACCAAGCAGCUGGUAAAUUUUAUAAUAAUUCUCAGUAGGCAACUUUUCAUUAACAUCAACACAAUUAAUCUAAUUAUAAAUGAUUAUUAAAUACUUGAAACUUGAAAGAAAUCAGCACCUUGUUGCAACCUGGGACCAGUUCCUGGAGCAACUUCAUCCUAGCAUUUAUCUUCUCUCUCCUCGCCUGCCCCCACAUUAUAAUUGAAAAAUACAUCAUAAUCACACAAUAAUAAGAUAAGUAUAUAUACAAGUACUUAACACUAAUGACAAAUUAAGAAUGGAGCUAAUUAUGAGAUUACUCUUUCAGCUAAGCUAUGGCUAUCUGUAGCUUGGCCUCGACGAGCUCGGACGUGAACAUAAGGGAGCUUCUCCUUGUCAUUCUCCGCAUUUUUACUCUUUUUCGAGGGUGCUUUCGCCUAAAUUCACAAACAAGCCAUCAAAUUAGCCACAAAAACAAUAAUUACCAGAAAUAGAAACCCUAAAAACCGUAGUUGGGCACUCCCUACCUUCUUUUCCCUCUCUUUCCGCUUACUCGACUUUUGAUCACUAUUCGGAACCACUGAAUCAGACAUUCCUGGUGACGAAUUACGAUGCGAUUCAGACUCCACAGGCUCCUGCUUCACGUAAUUCGCCGGAAUUGAACUCCUCUCCGGCGAAUUCUCCGUCGCGAAAACAGAGAAUUUCGAAGCUCGGUCAAUUAAAGCAGGAUUAGACGGGAAAAUAGGAGCGUAAGGAUAGAGUUUUGGCUGUUGAGCUUCUCCGGCGAGUUUUUCCGGCGUGUGCAAGAGCUUGACGGCUUGAUUUGGCGGGAGUUCUAAAAGAGCGGUGAAAGAAUUACCGGAUUCCGGAGGCACGGACAUCAAGGUUUGAAGCUCUUCUCCGAAUCGGAGUGACUCGUCGGCGAUUUCUUCGACUAAUUUACCGGAUCGGACCUCCUCUGUUGGCUCCAUGUGAAUAUAUUUCAAUUGAUUAAUUAAAAUGUUUAAGUCUGAGUCCUUUAAAGUUAAAUUGUUGAGGUACACAGCCAAAGAGAGAAACAAUAAGAUGUAAAUGGUACUUGACACUUUCCAACAGCAGACGUAGUAUAUGAGAGAGAGAGAGAGAGAGAGAGAGAGAGAGAUUUAUGUGUGUGAAAAGGCAGGCAGCUAGAGCUAGAUAGAGGGUAUCAAUGGAGGUCAGUGAAUAUUAUAAUCUACUUAUCUACUUAUCUACUUAUAUAUAUAAUAGCCCAACACGUUCGUGUCAAGCCUCCAUCCUGAGCAAAUAAAUUACCUAGCUCCGAACCCGAGCCUAACUCCGAACCUAACUCCUCCUCAUACAUAUAAAAAAAAUGGUAUUCAUCGGACUCGAACCCAAGCCCUCUUCAUUACAAUUACACCACUCAAACCACUUGAGCUACAUAGGCAAUUAAUUUUUUUACUCAAAAGCAUUAAACUCAUACAUUAAAACUAUUGUAUUUAUAUUCUUUUCAAUAUCUUAUUUAUUUAUUAAUUUGAGAUAAGUUUUUGAGAAACAUUUAUUUGAGAUAAGUUAUUAUUUCAGGUAAGUCUCAUAUGUUUUUUACAUGAUAGAUUAAUAUCCAUAAAUUAAUUACUAACGUAAUAAAUUUAAAUUUGAAAAAUUUUUUGAACAAUUGGGUUCGAGGCAUGUUUCAGACUUCAAAAAAUGGAUAUAAUUCAUAUUUGAUUAAAAUUGGACGAAUUCAAAUCUAACUUAAUACUUUAAACGAGUAUCGGUACAAUAUUAGAGAAAUUUAAGUCAUGCAUGUGAGAAAUAAGUACCAAAACUAAGAUUUCGAUGAGCAUCUUUGAAAGGAAAAAUUGAUGGACUUUCAACAUGGACCAUGUCAUAUUAUUUUUCUUUAAUUAUAAAAGGUGACUUAUCAAGAGAUUACAAUAUUUUGAAAAACAUAAAAUAAGAUAACUGAAAGAAUAAUUUUAUUUAGAUUACUUUUUAUUUUAAACUUAUGAAUUCAAAAUUCGACGUGUAACCAAAUCUUUUCAAAAAAAAAAAAGUAUAGAUAUAAGAAUAGUGACAAAGACAUCAAAUUUGGUGUUAGAAAAUAUGUCUAAAUGAUGUGAUUUUGGUAUUUGAAAUAUUAUAUAACUUGUGAUACAAAAGUGAAUUUAGGGAAAUUCUAUGUUGUUAAUCAAAAGUCAACCAAAUAAUAAUAAAACGUGUUUACGAGACCUACUAAAAAGAAUUGAGUUAUAAAUUUUACUUGCUUAAAAUAAAAUAACACAGAGAAAUAAGUUAUAUAUAUAUAUUAAAGUCUUAAAACUAUAAUUUUAAUAUGCCAUCCAUCAAUGUAUAACAUACGAGUUAAAUAAAAUGAUUCAAACUAUAAUUAAAUUAAUUAAUCAUUUACAAAUUAAACUAAUAAAAUAUAAUUAAUUCUGAAAUGGAUAAUCCGACGCGAUAAGGUGAAAACUAAUAUCUGAUUAAACGGGAUUAGAACAAGAAUAGUUUUCCAUAAUCCAUAAUAUCGAAGACCUGAUUUGAUAUUUAACAAUUGAACAUGAUAUGCUACAUUGCUCACCCCUAAGAAAUAAGAGUAUCAUAAUAUUUAAAAAUGUGAGUUUGCACAAAGCUCAAAAAGUAACUAUACGACUAAUUAAACUAAAUAUUUCUUAUUUUCAUGAAUUUUAUGGUGCCUAACUGACAUCUACUCUAUUUUUGCUAUUUGACAUCUGGUUUAUAACAAUUACAUGAAAAAUCACUAAAAGUCUUAAUCAACAAGCUCUGAAAACUAAUGAUAAAAAAUUAAUAUUUUAUAACAAGACAAUAUUAUAACACGCGGUAUCAAAGUAAUAAUCAUCUAAUAUUUUAAAUUAACAAAAAAAAAUAAGAUAUUGAAGUACUAUAUAAUUGAUAUGAAAAUUAAAAGAAUAAUCCACAUCAAACGUGUAGGAAUUUUUCGGGUACAAUUAUAAAGUUAGUAGUUCAAUUGAUGCUUUUAAAAUAAAUUAAGGUAGGAUCUUUUACAUACAAUAUAUGUUUCAAUUAUUAUUUAUACAAGGUGUGUGCAAUAUAUGCUAAAAAAUAAUGUGUUGAUGGUCUGUCCAUCAUAUAUCACUUAACUAUUACACAAACGUACGCUCAAAAAAAGAGAAAUAAAUAUAAAACAACGCGGAUCACACAUCUUCAUCUAAUCAUGAUUUAGGAUAUCGUAAUUCACAUAUCAAGAACAAGUUUUCAUAUUGGAUGAAAUAAUUUAAUAAUUUUCAACAAUAAAUUACAGAUCUUUUUAGUGAGGUAUAAUAUAUUUAAAUUCUAAAAGUUUCAGUAUUAACUUCGAAUAUAAUUUUGAACAUGUAGAUAAUAUGGCAGUGGCCUCUAUAUCCUAACGAAUUUGAAUAUAGAAAAAUAAGUUCAAAUGUUAUUUUUGAUCCAUAAUUUUUUUUUGAAUAUAGUACAUAUUAUUACUAUCAAUGCUAUUAGAUUGCAAAUGUUACAUUUCAUAUUUACAUAUUCAGUUAAAAAAUAAGACGUAAUAGUUAUACUCGGAAUAAUAUGAUAACACACGAAUAUUAUUUAAAACACAACAAAAACUAGAGUCCCGUGCCUCGCACGGGCUUUUAUGCUAGUUUGAUAAUUAAAAAAGAAAGCGAGGAAAUGGAAAUAAGGCAAUUAGGCAAAUGAAGUACAGGGAAAGCAACGUUGUGUUGGGGGGAGAGAGAGAGAUGGGAGAGAGGGAGAGAGCGAGGGAGAGAGAGAGAGAGAUGGGAGAGAGGGAGAGAGAUGUAUAGGAGGGGGCGUAGAUAUGGAGGGAGGGGGGGUACUUAGUGGUUAAGUGGCGCAGGGGAGGGGACCGUGACCCGACACUAUAUUAUAACCGUAGAAGCGAGACUGAUGGGUCAUUAUCUUGCAUUUAUAACGUCGCUUUUAACUAGAGCGGGGCUACUAUUUUUACUCUUUCCAGCUAAACACCAUACUACUUGUAGCAUUUACUUGUUAAGUUGCCAACUUGCUUCAUCCGCUGUCUUCUUUCCUGCCUUCCCUCCCCUUCCAAGUACCACUGUCCAACACUGACAGUGGCGGAACCAGAGGGGGGCUAGGGGAUGCUAGAGCCCCCCCUAACCUCGAAAAAACAGUGUUAAUUUUUUUCCCAGCCCCCGCUGAAUUAUUCAUGUCAAUAUAAUUUAGGGCACUUAGAUCGAGUUCAAGAGAUGUCUUAUAACACGUCUUAAGUCAAAAUUUGGGAUAUUUGAUGAAAAAUGUUGAUCCAACAAUAUCCUAGUGAUGCCUUCUAUCACUAGAACAACCUCUUGAAACCUUAUUUAUAAAGCAUAUCUCUUCUUGUUAUAUCCUAUAUAUUAUUAUAAUAGUUAUACAUACUCUCUUUCUCUCUCUGCUUUGAACUUGCUCUUAGUCUAAAGAGAGUCUGAUUAACAAAUACAUUCAAACAGGUACACUCAUAAGUCAUACGCACACACUCUCAUCAUGAACUUGGUCUUACUUCACCGUUGAGAAACAACACUACUCUAACUCAGCUUCUCACUGCGAUAAAUUCAUUCAGCCGUGAACCCGCGACAAUAUGCUCAAAUGCGCUCUCCUUUCCGGCGGCCAUGUCACUUAAAAUUGGUUGUUUACGAUUUUUCGGAGGUCUACAAUGGCAUAAAAAAAGUCGAUGUACUAUGAGUCAAUUUUUUUUUUCGACGCCGCUUCUUAUUGCUGUAUUUAUGUUAAUGCACUCGGAAAACGUUCUCUUUUAGGCCUUUUAACCAAUAACUACGUGCAACCUAGAGAGAUGGUCGUAUCUCUUUAAUGAAUGUGGUAUCAAUGUUCGAUUCAAAUUUCAAUCGGUCCCUCACAAUCUCACUUGCUUCCAAAUUUGAGCCCCCCUAAAUAUUAUUCCUGGUUCCGCCACCGAACACUGAUAUAGUAGCUUGUCAUCUAUGUUUAUCCCUCAAUUUAUUUUUUAUUUUUUUGCAGGACAAUUUAGCACUAACAACAAUUUUCUUUCUUUCUUUUAAAUGUUUUGCCACCUUGCUUGAUGGUUGCUUCACGCAUGGUAACACGUUCGAGUUUGAAAUUGGAACUUGAUAAAAUUGAUGAAAGAGCUGAUUCCGAACAUAUUUUGAUUAAUCGAAUUAUAUUCGUGCCAUUUUUAGAUUUAAGGUGUGAGUUGCACUGUGAAUGAUAUCAAGAAGGAUGUUCAGAUAUUUGAUUGUAUUGUUUUAAAUGGGAUGAAAUCAUGAAAGAAUGAAAUAAAAAUUAUAAAAAAAAUUGAAAAUUAUACAAAAUAUGAGAUAAAAAAGAUUAACUUUGAGUGUGUAUAAAUAUUUUUAUGAAUGAAAUUAUAGAGAUAUAUGAUGGAAAAGUUGAGACAAUUAUUCUUCUGAAAUGUGGAUAAAAUUUUUGAUACAAAAUUAUGUAGCUGAGACAAUUAUGAUGAAAAGUUGAGACAAUUAUUCUUGUAAACGGACUAUUUUAUGUAGCGUUUUGUUCUUAAAACAUCAUAUCGUGUCGUGUUUUGUCGGAUUUUUUUAUCUGAACGUAAUACGAUCUAGUAUUUUCGUCCUAAAAACAAAAUGAAGGAUUAUCCGACGCAUUUAAAUGAUAUUUGUGAUCAUUUAUCCCCAUUCUAUUAUUUUAAAUAUUAUUUGUGAAUUUUGUAUAAUCUAUGAAAACAAAGACUUAUUUGGAGUUGAAAGUUGCAUUUAUACAAUACUUUUUAUAAUUACGUAUUUAACAUAUGAUUGCUAUUUCUUAUGCUAUGAGUCGCUUAUUUCCAAAAACAAUUACACAUUUUCGUACUUUAGACUAAUAAAUAUAUGAUUUAUUUUUAAAGAAAAAGAAAAGCUAGACAUGAUGAAUAUAUGAUCAAAUCAAACAUGCAAAAGUUUGAUCACUAAAUUAUAGUUGGGUACAAUUUGUUGUAAUAGUUAUCUUGAUCUAUUUUGAUAUUAAAGAUGAUUUCGAAUAUUUAAAGUUCAUAUCUUUAAAAUCAUAUAAAUAACUUAUUAUUAAAUUUUUAAAUAAUUUUUUAAUUUAUUUAUGUGAUAUUAUAUUAAAAUUACAAACAAAAGGAAAUUAUUAAAUUAAAUAAAUAAACAAGUUAAUAAAUAUUAAAAUACACCCCUGUUAUCAGCCAUAUACUUUAGUAAAAUAUGCUUCCGAGUUCCGAGUAAAGUACAGCAAUCCUUUAGCUUAGCGUGAUCCAAAAUUUUUUAACAUUCAAAUAUUAUUAUUUUUAUUAUUUGAUGAUUUUGUUAACUUUUAUAAAUUAAUAAAAAUUAUAAUAUAAUUAAAACAAUGAUUAAUUAUAAAUUAAAAUUUCAAAAUAUAUAUAAUUUCAAAAUACAUAAAAUUUCAACAAUUUAUUAAUUGCUACAAAAAAAUCAAAAAUAAAGAUGUCCAUCUUGAACUUCGAAAUGCACUAAUUGAGCAUGUGUGAAGAAUAUACUGAUUAUAUGAAUUAGUAUUUUAAUGUAAUAUUUUAAUGUUUUUAAUUUAUUUUUAUGUACAGUUUUAUCUUUUUCAAAUCAUUUUGUAAUAUUUUAUAUUUUUCUAGUCAUUUAUUGUGUUAUUAUUAUUAUUGAUGAAAUUACUUAAUCAUUUUUAAAAUAUUUAAAAUCAAAGUAUAUAAAUAUUUUAAACAUGAAUGAAUUUGAAUUUAUAUUUAAAUCAUAUGAUUGGAAUAAAAUUUGCAUCUCGUCCUAAAUUUGGAUCAUUUAAUGAUCCAAAUUUGAAUCUAUGAUUGGAGUUGGACAUGGAACAACCGGUGAACAACGGAGGUCAAGAAAUGAGAAAAAACUUGUUGGUGGUCAUUGACUCAUUGUCAAUAUCAAACCAGCAAAGUUAUAUAUGUGAACUAAGUUGGAGGCGAUGCAACAAGACUUUGAUUCCUUUUGAAAAAGGACCUUGGUGAAACAAAUUGAAAUGAUUUUCCAUGUAUUUUCGGCCAACAAGACGUACGGCUGCUUGUUUUACAAAAGAUAACAACGUCUCUCCAACCCAUCAUCUUAUGACAUAUUCAUCCGGAUGUUUAAACUUUACUCCAUGCAUAUUUUACAACUCUUCCCUUGCUUUGCGUACAAAACUUAUAUAUUUUCAUUAAAAAUGAAUACUUCCAUAGAGUGCUAAAAAGCACGAACCAACCAUUUUUCAAAGUUAAAAUGUGGGAAAACGUAUUUAGUGCUUAAUUCUUUAAUUAGACGGUUAUUAAACUGCGUCAUCAAUUAAGAGCAAUGAAUUCGUGGCAAGUCUGUUGGGGUUUUGUAAUUUUUAGAUGGGAUAAGAUGAAAUUCCGGACAAGCAAUAUCAUAAAUUUAUUUAUAUGUACAAUGUUUUUUUAUCCAAAAAUAAUGGAUGGAAUAAUAAAUAAUGGAUGAGAUAAUAAAGAGAGCAAAUGCAUUAUUGAGAUGAAGGGGGAACAACAAAACCAGAAUUUGGCAGACGCAAAAAUCUCAGACUUGCUACGCUCCUAUAUUUGGAAUUUCCAAUUCGGCCAAUUUAGGGUUUGUUUGCCCAGUUUUUAACAACUUACUCGGAUAUAAGAUCUCGUAAUCUUCAAGUACAAUCCUUUCUACUUCGGUCUUCACUUUAAAGCUUCUUCCACUCUAUGAAACUUUUUUUUAAUUGAAAUAUAAGAGCACGCAGCUAGUAUCCACGAGCUCACAGACAGACUUAACCGUAUCAUAUAUUAUCCACACACAUAUAAUUGAGACCAAAAUUUCUUACUUUAUAUAUAAGAGCAACUCUAAUAUAUGAAUUUUUUAGACAAAAAAAAGAAAAAGAGAUGAUCUUAUAAGUGGCAUCAUCAUAUAUCAUUAUAUAAAAAUAUUAUAUUUCAUUUAUAAUAAAUUAAAAUAAUAAUAAUAACCGAUUUAAAAAAUAUAGUCAAUUGAUAUAAUCGAUAUUAUCAAAAUAAAUUAAUUUACAGAUUCAAGAAAUUUUACUAAAUAUCUUAUAAUUUCAAUUUAGUCCACUAUAAUAACGGACCGAUUGAAGACAUCCUGAAUCAAUAUAAGAAAUACAAGUACAAAUAAUUAUUUGGAAUUAUAACAUUGUUAUAUGAUGAUAAACGUGAGAUAUAUUUCUAUAAACAAUAUAUAAACUGACCUAUUAGUCAGAACUGGCGGCAAAAUAAGACUUCACCAAACAUACACUAGAUCUGGAGCUGCAGAAGAUGUUUUAUUGCUCAUUGAUACUGUAUCAAUUUAUUUAUAUUGUUUUUUCUUUUACAUUUCCAUCAAGGCGAGCACAAAAAAAGGUAUACAUGCGUGCGAGAAGUGCACAGAGGGGCAUCAAUUCAUUUUAUUCGAUGUUGCAAUUAAACUUUCGACUUCCUUGAGAAAAAUUUGGGGCCUAGAUAAGAAAGUGCACAGUGAAUGGACCACAAAAAUGAAGGAGAGCCCACUCUAAUGUAGUGGGCCUCUGCCCACGUGAUAUCCUCGUAAAUGCUUUAUCAUGCAUGCUGCUCUCCUCCCCCUUUCACUUAUUUCUUUUUAGAUAUUUUGCGUUUCUGACACACUUGAAACUACCACUACAGCGACGUGAGACGUCCUUGGGUAUAAAUAACUUCGUGUGUGUGUGUAUAUAUCAUCCUUUUAGUGUAUUAUUAAAAAAAUACAACUAAAUUUUUAUCGAACUCAGAUGUACAUAAAUAAGUAUGCUUUCGGACGAAGACACAAAUUCUGAGACAAAUUAACAAAUAUAAUUAUUAUAAAUUAUUAGUUUAUGCAUUGUUUUGAUAAUUUAUAUGGCAUUAAAGUGUAUAAAGAAACUAACUGGUAAAAUUAUGAUUACAAUUAAAUAAAUAUCCCCAACUCCGAUAAUUUGAAUUCGAAGCAAUACUGUAGAAGGAUAGUUUGUCAGGUUAAAAUACUAAUAAUUUGUUAAUUUUUUUAUAAACUGAAAAUUUCAAUCAAUUUAUAUUGUGAUAGCAGAAGGAUAACUUUUGAAGUUAAAACACUAAUGAUGAAUUUGAACUAAAAAUAAUUAUUUUAAAAGUAUUUCAAACAAAUUCGGAACUAAAAAGUAUGAAUAAUUAUUAUCUUCCCUUAAUAAACGGACGGUCAUUUUAGUAAAUCUAGAACUGAAAAAUGAAACUAAUAUUAUGGUUUUAUACUAUUAAAAAUUUCCUUUCAAAUAAUUUAAAACUCACAGCAAGACAAUUUCUUGUUUAUAUUAUCUUUCCUGCUACUAAAAAAAUUUCUUACACCAAAUUUGAAACCGUUAUUUCAAAAUAACUCUUACAAAUCAAAAACUACUAUUCAAAAAUUUGAAUUUGGAAAAAUUAGUUUUUAUUUUAAUAUUUAUAAUUAAAAAUUACAGAAAUUUAGAAACAUGAACUCAAACAGUCAAGAGUUCCGGUUCGCUCGGCAAUUUCAACGGUGAAAUCCAAUGAAAUAAUUUAUUUGGGCCAGAAGGGUUUGAUAAUUCUGAGCCACUGGGCCAAUAAUGGCAAACAAGAAGACAACACAAAUCCACUUCAGGAGCAGGCAAGUGGGCCAAAGACCUCAAACCAACAGUCACAGUGGGUUUUAUUACGGUCCCAAAACAUUGGACCCACGUAACCCAAUAACCACCAAAGUUUAAAAGACAGCGACUUGAUGUAACUUAUUCUUCUUCUUCAACAAGGUAAAAUGAAAAUAGUACUGGCCAGCUGGAAAAAGAAGAAUGAUAGCUGGACGAUAUGUCUAUCUAUUAUUACUUGUACAUAACUGAUGUUUACAUGUCGUGUCGUGGAUCUUUGUCAGAUAUCCGAAAGUUUGGAGUUGCAAAACGGUGGGGGCAAUUUGACAUUGAUUUGCUCUUUCCUGUUUUGUUUAAACUUUUUCCAGGCCAAACAUUAGCCCAGUGGAACUUGGUUCAAGCAACAUGCUCAACUGCAAAAUAUCAACACCAUGCCCACUAGCUUACUUCCAAGCUCAAAGCACCGGACACAUGUCACACAUGUAUCCCGAGUUGCCAGUCACUCGUCACAAGGAUAACUCAGUAGGAAUGACAAUGAUUUAAGUUUUAAACGUCUAAAAAACUUUCAGAAGCAUAAUACAGAUGCAAAUGUGUGACAUAUAAACCAGGGAUCCUGAAAUGAAUGUUGGGUGGCGGGUGGUUAUAGUAACAAACAGAUGACCAAAUCAUCAUGGAACUUCACAUCCAGUGCAUGUUGCUAAACGGUAAAUGAUUACAAAAUGAAGAGAACAAACAUGAGCCUUGCCUAUAUAUCAUGAAAACUGGCAAGGUAAUUUAAGAGGGCAACUAGUAUACAAAUAUCUUACACGUGAGACUAGAGUAAAAAAUGGUUAAGGCAAAUAUCUAAAAACAGGUCAUUAACAUCAUUCUUUGAAGCUUCAGGUCGAUUACACUUAUGUCAGUAAUGCAGACCUCCUAGCUUCUUUACAAAGUUACAGAAGAGUUAUACAAGCAAUAAUCCGUGGAUUAAUCAAACAUCCCAAAUUCAUGGAGGCCCCCAUCCUGAUCUAUUGCAUGGUGGACUACUGUGAAAACAAGCCUGCAAAUUACAAUUUCCCAUUAUAUAUUAUAAUGAAAUAAACAAACACAAAUUAGUAGCUACCACCUCUUGGCACAAGUUAACUAGAUAAAGGGGGACCUAUACUUUUUUUGGGUUAAUAGGCUAAAUCAUGAUUUAACUCGGAAAGCUUGCAGUCGACUCGCUACAAAAUUACACAUUUGCAGUUAGAUAACAGGCGUUACAUUAUAAACAGAGUAGAUGGAUGGCGGACAUGUCAUGCAUGUCUCAAAAUCUGAUCCAAAAGCAAAUGACCCAAGUCAUUAAUAUAAGCCUACCCUUCUACCCAACUGAAAACCCAUUGAAUCUUAACAUAAUGAACUCAACCUUUUUUUUCAAAUCGAUCCUGCUACUCAUUCAUCUCAUCAUCAUCUCUUCUGAUUCUGUUUUCACCUUUAAAGAAGUUGAAUGUGUAUUCCAAUUUCAAACUUUAUCAUCCUGAUUAAUCUUCUUGCUGAUUGUUCAAGGUUGGCCUUAGCUAUACCCAAAUUAAGAAUUCAACAUUUGAAAAAAAAAUUGAAAAAGAAAAAAAUCUUUCAUGGAAGACGCGAGAAGCGAGAAUCACCAAUUUCUGACCCCGCCUCAACCUGAAAAUCUGGCUAAUCGAUACAAAUUUGUAGCUACAACUUUAUACCUAUAUCAAAACCACAACCGUAUCACCAAAUUUAUAGGCACCCAAGUUACUGUACCAAAUUUACAGGCACCCAAUUACUAUCCUUACUACUGAUGAGCAUAUGCUUGCUCCGUGUAAUCUCCUAUUCUAAGCAUGAUUGGUUGCACAGUUGCUUUUGACAUAAAAAAUGUUGUAUGGUAAUUUGUGUUUAUGUUAACUGUUGUGUGUGUGUGUAUACUCACGCACAUAUGAUUAGUUCAGAAUAAAGAAAAUUAAUUUGGGUAUAUGGUAGGAAUAGAUGGAUGAGUAAAGGAUUGGCUUUAAGUUUUUUAUUACGUAUCACCUAAUGUGGUAGCUUAUGAAAUUAUAUAAGUUCAUUAAUAUUCCGUAAUGGAGAAAUUACUAUUUGAAAUUUUAAUCUGAUCUCUUUUACUCCUACUAGAAUCUUAAUAGUUUAAACAAGAUUUGAUAAUAUGAAAAUAAAUAUUGAAGUGUUAUUUAGUAAAGUGAUUGCAUUGAAUAGGAAAAGUAACAACACUAGAUAAAUUUUAAUUUACUAAUGGUUAUUCUUUAUUAUGAAGGUGAAAAAUUGAAAAUUCUACUUAGAUCAAUUAAAUAAAAUCGUUAGUAUGAUUAUAUUUUAAGUUGUUAAUGUGAUAGUGAAUAAAUUUAAGUAUAAUAAUAUGGAUUAUUAUGUGAUUUAUGUAUAUAAUGAAAAUAAAAUAAAAUUUAAAGUACAAAAAUACUAAUAUUUUUAGAUUUUUUUUUAAAAAUUACUUUUUCAUAAUAAGAGGCUAAUUAAAGUAUAACUUAUAAGUAAUAUUUCAAAUUAAUAGAAGAUAUAUAUACAUACAAUAAUAUGAAAAUAAAUAUAAUAUAAGAAAAUCUAUAAAUAUACGGUAUAAGAAUUUAUAAUGGAUUGUUUUAUUAAUUUAAGUGAACGCUAAAAAAGAUUUUAUACCAAUAUUACUCUAUUUCCUUAUUCUAGAGGGGUUAGAAAGAUUUAUUACUAAAUAUUAUGAUAUUUUUCUUAUCCUAACGAGGGCUAUAGUCUCCACUAGCCCCUGUGUAGCUCCAUCACUGGGUACUCUAGACAAGAGACACCUUUGGUACUUGCCACCUAUCAAUUGUACUUAUGUUACUGAAGCUGGCCAUGCAUUUAUGUUACUCUAUGCUAUUUAUAGGUUGUAUAAAGCAGAUAAGAGAACUUGCACAUGCCUUAAGGUCAUCCAGGAUAAGAAACCAUUCACCAAAACCAAAUAGAAUACACAGUCAAAACAACUAACAUCUCAAUUGUAAACACAGAAAGAAACUUGCAGGAUUCCUUUGUUUCGUUCAUUAAAUUUCAAGCCAAAAAUGUACAUGGCUUAACACAUUAAAACUCUUGUUAAUUGAAACAAAUGUGCAUAAAUCAGGAGCCAUGCCUAUGAUUUACAACAGAUUUACCCUUAUUCAUAUAUCAAUCCCGAAGGAGAAAAUAUUCUAAUACUAUAUCAGCUUUAGAAAAUCUCAAAUUUAAAAAACCUGAAAUCAUCCUAACGUAUAGAUCGCCAACCUUAUUAUUAAGGGCGAAAAGCAACAAAGUAGUAUACGGUGACAUCUGGUGGUGCAAACCCUAGAAUUCAAGGAUGGACGAGCGAAUGUCUAAUUCUUCAUUACUGACAUGGAAGAGAGAAAUCAUGGUAGACAGUGCUCCGGAACCAAUAGUUCUAACCCAAACAGAAUUAAACACUAAAUUAGCAAAGACAAAGCUGGAUGUAUGCACUAUACAACACAACAUAAUAGAGAGAGAAAUAAAAGGGAGGAGGUGAGAGAGAGUCUGAG